GUUGCGCAGAGGAAAGCGGUUGCCCGACAGCGCUCCUCUCGGUAUGUUGGGCUUCUGCUUCUCCUUCGCAUUCGGCUCUUUCCCUUGUUCCAUGUUUUUUUGAGAUUCCUCUGGUUAGCAUGUACGUAUCGAGCAAGUCUGUGAACGACGCGGCUCCUUUCGCUGUCGCCUUCGUCCCACCAGCUGAGGCGGCGACUGCUCCUCGCGUGGCAGACGCUCCAGCCUCCUUGGUCGUCCUGGAGGUGCCAGGAGUGGUUGCCCCUGGUGCGGCCUUCUUUGAGCCGCCGCCUUCUGCACCUGGCCCGGGGCAGGUUUCGGUCGCCGAGGAAGUCGUUGUCGGCGCGCGCUCGGUGGCGGCAGGGUCGGUCGCCGGUCUGCCGCCGCCGCCCCCGCCCCGUGAAGGGGGUUCUGGGUUGGCGCUGUUGCCCGCGGAGGUCGCCGCGCCCUAGGUGCCACCGCCGCCUGCCGCUAUUGCCUUGACUUCCGCAGGUGCCGCGGUACCCAUGGGAUCUGAGGAAAUCCACGGGGGGCUUCCCCUCUCCCUCCCUGAAGGACGGGGGGCAGAGGCAGAAGAGUGGCAGCGGACCGAGUCAGCCUCGUCUCGGGCCAACUCGAGCUUAGAAACUAUCGAGCGCAUGUUCGGUAGCUUCGAGGAGGCGAUUUCGAUUGCUUGGGCGUCGAUGACGCGGGAUCUGAUUCCUUUUGGUUAGCGCCUCCUUAUGCGGUCGGUGGCUCGAGAGGAAGCGCUACUAGCCGCCCAACAGGAGGUGGAGCAGUUGCGUGCUGGGGCCAUUCGGCUCAGGGAGUGGGAGCGCGAGCUCACCACCCUUUGUUCUGAGGCUGUCCGGCUUCGGAGCGAGACGCCGCUCCUACGCGUGGAGCAUGACGAUGCUUAGGGCAACAUGGAUCACCUACGGGAGGAGGGGUCCCGACUCUAAGAGGCCCUCGAUGGGAUGAGCCUUGGGGCCGAGGGGGCCACGCCGAACCUUGGGGAGGUCGACGCCUGUCUAGGGGAGGCAAACUCGGAGCUCCAAAGGGAACGCAAUGCAACUGGAGAGCUCUAAAAGAUGAUUUCCCAAGCUGAGGUCGCCAGGAAGGCAGCAGAAGAGGCGAAGACGGUGGCAGAAGGAAGGAUACGAGAGCUCUCGCUUGCUUGUGAUGGCACCGUUGUUUCGAGACUCCAGGCGGAGACCUCACUUUCGGAGCGGAGCGCCGAGCUCCAAGUGCUUCACCCGAUCGUCGGCUCGGUGUGCACUCACCUUUCUUCUCCACCGCCGAUCGAGGUCCCUCUAAUCAAUCGGCUGCGAGCGCUGUCCGAUCAUGUGGAGCACGUGGUCGUCGAGGGAGCAUAUCACGGGAGCAUCCUUGCCCUGGGACAGAUGGUCUCCCAUUUCGAUGAAAUCGACUCUGGUGUGAUCGCGGAAGGCUUCGCCGCCGGUUGAAGUGACGAGGAGCUGGGUGCCAUUGAGGUGCAGGUCCAUCCCCACGCCCGGUCGAUCGUGGGCCGGGUCAAUGUGAAGUUCCUCCUGAUCGACCCCUGGAGCCUGGGACCACUCGCCGGUGGUCCGUCCACCCAUUCUUAGUCGGCGUUCAUUGUAAUGUUUUG
rnacentral:misc_RNA from 1 species